UAUGGCAAAUAUACUUAUACGUUUCCCCUUUCAUCGGUGUCUGGUGUUAGCUAGUUACAGGUUAGCUAGGUCUUCAUCUGUGCCUGGUGUUAGCUAGUUACAGGUUAGCUAGGUCUUCAUCUGUGUCUGGUGUUAGCUAGCUACAGGUUAGCUAGGUCUUCAUCUGUGUCUGGUGUUAGCUAGUUACUGGCUAGCUAGGUCUUCAUCUGUGUCUGGUGUUAGCUAGUUACUGGCUAGCUAGUUCUUCAUCUGUGUCUGGUGUUAGCUACUGGUUAGCUAGGUCUUCAUCGGUGUCUGGUGUUAGCUAGGUCUUCAUAUGUGUCUGGUGUUAGCUAGGUCUUCAUCUGUGUCUGGUGUUAGCUAGGUCUUCAUCUGUGUCUGGUGUUAGCUAGGUCUUCAUCUGUGUCUGGUGUUAGCUAGGUCUUCAUCUGUGUCUGGUGUUAGCUAGGUCUUCAUCUGUGUCUGGUGUUAGCUAGGUCUUCAUCUGUGUCUGGUGUUAGCUAGGUCUUCAUCUGUGUCUGGUGUUCGUUUACUGGCUAGCUAGGUCUUCAUCCAGCAUGGAACAAUAUGGUGUGGGGGGAGGGGGUUCGUUCAAAACUCUGACCCAGUUGUCAUGCCAACACAUCAGUCAGUGCUGCUGUGAACCGCAUCACAAGAGACAUACCAAACGGGAUAUAUAUAUAUAUAUAUAAAGAGCCUGCCUUUUCAAACUUCCUAGUAGUUAGUCAUGCGAUAAAAAGUACUUAGUCAAAUGUAUCAUUUCUAUCCCCCAAAAAAAUAUUAUGGGU